rnacentral:rRNA from 1 species
AUUGAACGCUGGCGGCAGGCCUAACACAUGCAAGUCGAGCGGAUGAAGGGAGCUUGCUCCUGGAUUCAGCGGCGGACGGGUGAGUAAUGCCUAGGAAUCUGCCUGGUAGUGGGGGAUAACGUCCGGAAACGGGCGCUAAUACCGCAUACGUCCUGAGGGAGAAAGUGGGGGAUCUUCGGACCUCACGCUAUCAGAUGAGCCUAGGUCGGAUUAGCUAGUUGGUGGGGUAAAGGCCUACCAAGGCGACGAUCCGUAACUGGUCUGAGAGGAUGAUCAGUCACACUAGAACUGGAACACGGACCAGACUCCUACGGGAGGCAGCAGUGGGGAAUAUUGGACAAUGGGCGGAAGCCUGAUCCAGCCAUGCCGCGUGUGUGAAGAAGGUCUUCGGAUUGUAAAGCACUUUAAGUUGGGAGGAAGGGCAGUAAGUUAAUACCUUGCUGUUUUGACGUUACCAACAGAAUAAGCACCGGCUAACUUCGUG